AUGAUCCAUGUGUCCUAAAAUUGGAACAACGCAGAGAUAAUCAGCAUGGCCCCUGUGCAAGGAUGAUGUGCAAAUUUAUGAAGCAGUCCUUAUUUUU
ensembl:snRNA U6 U6 spliceosomal RNA